rfam:Rhizobium sp. RT36D genome assembly, contig: Ga0136764_101
CGGCGGGACACUCCUCCCCAACGAGGAGCCAUCUAUCUGGAAGGAUAGCCAUA